rnacentral:SRP_RNA from 1 species
CCGUGCUAGAUGGGGAGGUAGCGGUGCCCUAUAACCUGCAAUCCGCUAUAGCAGGGUCGAAGUCCUGGUCUAGGCUUCUCUAUUGUGAGGUCUGCCCCAGAUAAGUGGUGUUGACGGUUGGGUCCUGCGCAACGGAAACUCAUGAACCUCGUCAGGUCCGGAAGGAAGCAGCGAUAAGUGAGAUCUCCCGUGUGCCGCAGGGAUGCCUGGCUCGAGCCAACUGUUUGGGUAACGCUCGGAAUAGGCUGCCGAAGCUAGGUGCACGG